rnacentral:rRNA from 1 species
CCUACGGGUGGCUGCAGUGGGGAAUAUUGGACAAUGGGGGGAACCCUGAUCCAGCCAUGCCGCGUGUGUGAAGAAGGCCCUCGGGUUGUAAAGCACUUUCAGUGAGGAAGAACGCCUGGUGGUUAAUACCCAUCAGGAAAGACAUCACUCACAGAAGAAGCACCUGCUAACUCCGUGCCAGCAGCCGCGGUAAUACGGAGGGUGCGAGCGUUAAUCGGAAUUACUGGGCGUAAAGCGCGCGUAGGUGGCUUGAUAAGCCGGUUGUGAAAGCCCCGGGCUCAACCUGGGAACGGCAUCCGGAACUGUCAAGCUAGAGUGCAGGAGAGGAAGGUAGAAUUCCCGGUGUAGCGGUGAAAUGCGUAGAGAUCGGGAGGAAUACCAGUGGCGAAGGCGGCCUUCUGGACUGACACUGACACUGAGGUGCGAAAGCGUGGGUAGCAAACAGGAUUAGAUACCCGUGUAGUC